UACGUAGGGCGCGAGCGUUGUCCGGAAUCAUUGGGCGUAAAGAGCUCGUAGGCGGCCUGUCGCGUCUGCUGUGAAAUCCCGGGGCUCAACCCCGGGCGUGCAGUGGGUACGGGCUGGCUGGAGGCAGGCAGGGGAGAACGGAAUUCCCGGUGUAGCGGUGAAAUGCGCAGAUAUCGGGAGGAACACCGGUGGCGAAGGCGGUUCUCUGGGCCUGUACUGACGCUGAGGAGCGAAAGCGUGGGGAGCGAACAGG
rnacentral:rRNA from 1 species